UACAGAGGGGGCAAGCGUUGUUCGGAAUUACUGGGCGUAAAGGGCGCGUAGGCGGCCGAUUAAGUUAGAUGUGAAAGUCCUGGGCUCAACCUGGGGACUGCAUUUAAUACUGGUUGGCUUGAAUUCGGGAGAGGAUAGCGGAAUUCCCAGUGUAGAGGUGAAAUUCGUAGAUAUUGGGAAGAACACCGGUGGCGAAGGCGGCUAUCUGGACCGACAUUGACGCUGAGGCGCGAAAGCGUGGGGAGCAAACAGG
rnacentral:rRNA from 1 species